GAUGAACGCUGGCGGCGUGCCUAAUACAUGCAAGUCGAACGGACAGACGAUGAGCUUGUGCCUCUAACGGUAGCGGCGGGCGGGUGAGUGACACGUGGAUCGCCUACCUAUAUUACUGGGAUAACUACGGAAAACCGGAUAUGAUACCACAGCAUAUCUUGAACCGCAUGGUUCAAUGGUGAUUGACGGUUUUGCUGUCUCUUAUAGCUGGAUCCGCGCCGGAUUAGCUAGUUGGUAAGGUAACGGCUUACCAAGGCGACGAUGCGUAGCCGAUCUGAGAGGAUGAUCGGCCACACUGGAACUGAGACACGGUCCAGACUCCUACGGGAGGCAGCAGUAGGGAAUAUUGGGCAAUGGGCGAAAGCCUGAUCCAGCCACGCCGCGUGAGUGAUGAAGGUCUUCGGAUCGUAAAGCCCUGUUAUUAGGAAAGAACAGCUGUGGAAGAAAACCUGGACGUUCUGACGGUACCUAAUCAAAAAGCACCGGCUAACUACGUG
rnacentral:rRNA from 1 species